GCCGAUUUCCCCGGUUUUCCUACGGUUUUCCAUGGUUUUUUUUUCCGGUUUUUAACAUUUGCUGAAAAAUCUCCCGGGAAAAUCGUGAAUCAACCCAACGUGAAAUUUAUUUUUUGAAAAAUUGCUAUCAUUAAAUGUUGGAGCGAAAUUUCUGGUUGAAAAGUUAUCCACAGUAAAUGAUGAAAACGUGAUUAAAACGUACCUAUUCCAUUGUCAAUUAAAUCUAGUAAACUAAUACCAUCUCAUGCUCGUCCUUUGUCAGUACACGUAAUAUUAUGUUAUAAUAUUCUAUUAUUCAAAAAUGGUUUUGAUUGCUUGACGCAGAUUACCGGGUAGAUUAUAAUGCAUAACGAUAUACGAGUAUUGUUACGUAUUAUUUUCGCGGUAGUUAUUAAUGCACAAACGAAAAAUGAUGUGAUCUAUUGAUAAAAGUACAAAUAUCGGAGAUUCUAAGGGCAGCGAGGAAUAUAAUACAGAUUUUACUACGUGCAAUUUUUUUUUUUUUUUUUUCCAUUGACAAUUCAAAUACCGGGGAACCAGGCUCCAAAUUUUAAUAGCAGCGUGUUUUUAGAAAGGAAAUAUUGUCUGUUCGUUGACGAAUGAAGAAGCGGUUUAAAUGUCUACGUAGUAUUAUUGUUUAAAAACCCGAUGAAAACGGGA